AUUGAACGCUGGCGGCAUGCCUUACACAUGCAAGUCGAACGGUAACAGGUCUUCGGAUGCUGACGAGUGGCGAACGGGUGAGUAAUACAUCGGAACGUGCCCGAUCGUGGGGGAUAACGAAGCGAAAGCUUUGCUAAUACCGCAUAAGAUCUACGGAUGAAAGCAGGGGACCGCAAGGCCUUGCGCGAACGGAGCGGCCGAUGGCAGAUUAGGUAGUUGGUGGGAUAAAAGCUUACCAAGCCGACGAUCUGUAGCUGGUCUGAGAGGACGACCAGCCACACUGGGACUGAGACACGGCCCAGACUCCUACGGGGGGCAGCAGUGGGGAAUUUUGGACAAUGGGCGAAAGCCUGAUCCAGCCAUGCCGCGUGCAGGAUGAAGGCCUUCGGGUUGUAAACUGCUUUUGUACGGAACGAAAAGACUCUGGUUAAUACCUGGGGUCCAUGACGGUACCGUAAGAAUAAGCACCGGCUAACUACGUG
rnacentral:rRNA from 1 species